rnacentral:rRNA from 1 species
UACAGAGGGUGCGAGCGUUGUUCGGAAUCAUUGGGCGUAAAGGGCGCGUAGGCGGUCUGUUGCGUCGGGAGUGAAAACUUACAGCUUAACUGUGAGCGUGCUUUCGAUACGGGCAGACUUGAGGCAUUCAGGGGAGAACGGAAUUCCUGGUGUAGCGGUGAAAUGCGCAGAUAUCAGGAGGAACACCGGUGGCGAAGGCGGUUCUCUGGGAAUGUCCUGACGCUGAGGAGCGAAAGUGUGGGGAGCGAACAGG